CCUGGCUAGUCUCCUGUGACAAGCCCAUGCUGUGAGAGGCCAAAGUUGAGUGUGAGUCACACAGACAGAAGUCCUCUCGGCUGCCACCCACUCAGGACCCCACAGCACUCCCUGGCUGGCCCACUGUGCUGGAGAAUGUGAACAGAAACCUUGGCAGCUCCUGAAGGAGCUGCAUGUCUCGGGGAAACCAGCAUCCUGCCUCCCCACACCAACUUCAUCACCCCGAGGAUGGUUCACGGACUCGGUCAGGAGCCCAGCUUUGACAACCAAGCGCUGCAGACUAAGGGGGCCUCGAGGGCGACUCACCGGAAGCAGACCCGGAAGCAGAUGGAGCAAUGGGAGGAGCUCUGAGACGGGAGCCAGUGACCUGCGCCUUCUACCCUCUCCGGGCCUUAUCCCGGGGCUCUAACAGGAAGCCAUGGGAUGAGCGGAGCUCUAACCACCAGGCUUUACAAAGAAAGAGAAAAGGAGAGCAAUGGGAGUUCCAGGCACUGGGCAGUGCUGCUCAAGCUGGUCUCCAUCUUCAGCAGGGGCUCAGAGCCGGCUGCCAUCAAGGAGACCCGCUAUCUCCCGAGCACCCUCCAGUGGCUGGCCGUGCUCUCUGUGGGGUGCUCAAAGGAUCAGCAGUUAAAGCAAGUGAUGAUGAAUGCGAUGAAUGCUCGGACAGGUCUCAAGGUCAUCGUUAUCCUAAUUGAAAGUGUUACACACUGAUUCCACCAUGAAUGCUCUGUGAGUGGCAGCAGAGACUGAGGCUGACAUGGCAUGACUGACUCAUUCUUCACUUGGUCAAACUUUAAUCAGCCUUCUACGGCCCUUUCAUGAACUUCGUGUCAAAUCUAUUUUUACCAAGAAACUUCCAGUGUGUGAUCGCCUUCCAAGUCAGAUCAGGGUACCCCACUGUCUGUCACCUUUCACGGAGUGCCUGAUUCCCCUUGGUCUGUCUUCAGAAAGAAUCUUGAAAGGCCAAGCACUUCUGAUAUUCAGAACGAACAAAUGAGAUGAAUGUUAAAAGCUCCGAGUCUCCUUACCUCUGAAAUUACUGUUAGAACAUUUCCUUUUACAUUCCUGAAGUUUCCAUGGAAGCUUGGGUUCCACCAGAUGAUCUUUGCUUAGAGGUAAUGUAGAUUUCAUUUCUGGGGGUUGGAAGUGAUUUUUGACGGUACUUUGGAUCCUCUUGUUUUUCAUUUCUUUGUGUCGGAGGAAAGACACAGAAACUUUGGAGCAAAGCUCUUGGAAAAUGUGCCACUAUUGUCCGUCACUGACAGGCUUGCCUUCCCCCAGGGGCUUCCCUAUCCCAGAGCACAAAGCAGCACCACGUCCUAUUUUUCUGUUAUGCUUUCACGAGGGGAGCCCAGAACACGGAUGUUGAGGGCACAAGAGACAGAAUUCGAAUGAGCAAUUUCAGUUCAACUGUGUUACUACUGUGACUCAGUUUCAUCUGGCCGGGUGCAGAGCUGUGGGCUUGAGUCAGCAGCCGCCAGUCCAAAAACUCCCUCCCCACCUACCGCACUUGUUAGGUGGUGGGGAGUAUGGAAGAAUACCCUUUCCUGGAUGGACAUGCGCUGAGAACAAGGGAAAUGUCUCCACUUCUACUAUAAUGGCAUCAUAACCUCUCACAUGUUUGAACACUUGGUCCCUGGCACAUGGCACUGUUUGGGGAGGCUAUGGCACUUUUAGGAAGGGGUGCAUGGCUGGGGACAGGCUCGGAGGUUUUAUGCCUGGUCUGUUUUCCCUCUGCUUACUGUGUACUGAUGGAAUCUCAUCAGCCAGAUUCCUGCUCUGUGCCUUCCCUGCCUGUUGCUGGGCCAGAUGAGCUCCAGUCUUCUGGAACUAUAAGACAAAAUCAACCCUUUCUCUUCUAGGUUGCUUUUGUUGUUGUUGUUGCUGGUUUUUUAAAAAUUUUUUUCUAAGUUGCUUUUGGCCAGGAUAUUUUAUCACGGCAACAAAAAAACUGCUAGAAAACCCAACUGCACUCUAAUCUGAUAAUAUGGAACGCUAGAACCCUAAGAAAGAGAAUGAAGUUGACCACACAGGUCAGUUAGCAUGAGUGCACAUGGGAAGAUGGGCCAAGGCAGGAGGAAGAGCCUCA